AUUGAACGCUGGCGGCAUGCCUUACACAUGCAAGUCGAACGGCAGCACGGGAGCAAUCCUGGUGGCGAGUGGCGAACGGGUGAGUAAAGUAUCGGAACGUGCCCAGUCGUGGGGGAUAACGUAGCGAAAGUUACGCUAAUACCGCAUACGAUCGAUGGAUGAAAGCGGGGGAUCGCAAGACCUCGCGCGAUUGGAGCGGCCGAAAUCAGAUUAGGUAGUUGGUGGGGUAAAGGCUCACCAAGCCGACGAUCUGUAGCUGGUCUGAGAGGACGACCAGCCACACUGGGACUGAGACACGGCCCAGACUCCUACGGGAGGCAGCAGUGGGGAAUUUUGGACAAUGGGCGAAAGCCUGAUCCAGCCAUGCCGCGUGCAGGAUGAAGGCCUUCGGGUUGUAAACUGCUUUUGUACGGAACGAAAAGGUUUGGGCUAAUAAGCUGAGCUCAUGACGGUACCGUAAGAAUAAGCACCGGCUAACUACGUGCCAGCAGCCGCGGUAA
rnacentral:rRNA from 1 species